UGUGUAUGUAUGUAUGUGUGUGUGUGUGUGUAUAUAUAUAUACACACACACACACACACAUACAUACAAAAA